GUGGGGAAUCUUGCGCAAUGGGCGAAAGCCUGACGCAGCCAUGCCGCGUGAAUGAUGAAGGUCUUAGGAUUGUAAAAUUCUUUCAUCGGGGACGAUAAUGACGGUACCCGGAGAAGAAGCUCCGGCUAACUUCGUGCCAGCAGCCGCGGUAAUACGAAGGGGGCUAGCGUUGCUCGGAAUUACUGGGCGUAAAGGGCGCGUAGGCGGACAGCUUAGUCAGAGGUGAAAGCCCAGGGCUCAACCUUGGAAUUGCCUUUGAUACUGGCUGUCUUGAGUUUGGGAGAGGUGAGUGGAACUCCGAGUGUAGAGGUGAAAUUCGUAGAUAUUCGGAAGAACACCAGUGGCGAAGGCGACUCACUGGCCCAAUACUGACGCUGAGGCGCGAAAGCGUGGGGAGCAAACAGGAUUAGAUACCCUUGUAGUCC
rnacentral:rRNA from 1 species